AUUGAACGCUGGCGGAAUGCUUUACACAUGCAAGUCGAACGGCAGCACGGGGGCAGCCCUGGUGGCGAGUGGCGAACGGGUGAGUAAUACAUCGGAACGUGCCCGGUCGUGGGGGAUAACGUAGCGAAAGUUACGCUAAUACCGCAUACGAUCUGAGGAUGAAAGCGGGGGACCUUCGGGCCUCGCGCGAUCGGAGCGGCCGAUGUCAGAUUAGGUAGUUGGUGGGGUAAAGGCCUACCAAGCCGACGAUCUGUAGCUGGUCUGAGAGGACGACCAGCCACACUGGGACUGAGACACGGCCCAGACUCCUACGGGAGGCAGCAGUGGGGAAUUUUGGACAAUGGGCGCAAGCCCGAUCCAGCCAUUCCGCGUGCAGGACGAAGGCCUUCGGGUUGUAAACUGCUUUUGUACGGAACGAAAAGGCUCUGGCUAAUACCUGGGGCUCAUGACGGUACCGUAAGAAUAAGCACCGGCUAACUACGUG
rnacentral:rRNA from 1 species